rnacentral:SRP_RNA from 3 species
UGUUGGUUCUCCCGCAACGCUACUCUGUUUACCAGGUCAGGUCCGGAAGGAAGCAGCCAAGGCAGAUUACGCGUGUGCCGGGAUGUAGCUGGCAGGG